rnacentral:ncRNA from 2 species
AGACUUUCACGCAGUUUUGGUGCUCGUGCGUGAGAUUCUUUUGCGUGCAGUUAAACAGGAAGCAGGAGGCGCCGGUUCAAAUGAAGAACACGCGCUGGCCUGAGCUGCCCCCCACAACGGUUAAUCGAUUGUCGCGCCACGUGCGCGACGAGCCGCUUCAAGGCCACUACGCAAGAAUGCGUGGGAAGGCAAGGCGGUCACAUCGUCAGCCCGGAUACCGGCCAGAAUGUCAGCGGGUUC